AUAUUCUGCUUCUUUUCCCAGAGCUGUCAAAUCUCUGCUAUAUCAGUACUGGCUAAAUUAGGUGUUAAAUGAUUGAGCUUCAAGAUGGGCAAAUCAUGACUUCGGACUACAUUCCUCCUUGCCUGGCGGCUGGGAAAUUCCGUAAGCUCUGUGUGUUUCUAUCAGACUGCUCUUGAAGGCGGUGGCUCUCUGUGGAUCUCCGCAGAGCGCCAACGUUGGCUUAAAAAACCCCAAAGCUAGAUUAUCCAAAAGGUCCGCGCUGCUGCUAAGACUUCAGAUGAAAGACGCUCCGGGGACUCCGGACCUCCCUUACGACUUGGACCCGACUCCAGAGUGCAAUUAAGGGGCCGGCAAGUUGGGUAGCAGGCUGAGAGUGUCUAAAGGACACUAAAAUAUCUUUGGAAUAAUUCAGGCAUUUGUCUGGCCUUCCCUUUUACUGCUGGCUGGGAAGGAGGAGCAUCAGACCACAGAUCCUGGAAGGCACUUCUCUCCCUGACUGCUGCUCACACUGCCGUGAGAACCUGCUUAUAUCCAGGACCAAGGAGGCAAUGCCAGGAAGCUGGUGAAGGGUUUCCUCUCCU
rnacentral:lncRNA from 1 species